ensembl:snoRNA Gm26421 predicted gene, 26421
UCUGUAUCAGGAGACAUUGCAGAUGUGGCUGACAUGCCACAUGUUGUCAGUAGAUGGCAGAGAGAAGAGAGGGCAUGUCCAUGCUUUUUGUUCUAACCUAUGAACAUCUAAAUGAUUAGUAGUCUUACAUU